rnacentral:tRNA from 1 species
GCAUUUGUAGUCCGACGGUUAGGAUAAUUGCCUUCCAAGCAAUAGAUCCGAGUUCACUUCCUGGCAAAUGUA